rnacentral:lncRNA from 1 species
GAGUUUAUUCUAGCACGCGUUUGUAGAGGAGAAGUGGAAGAAGCGUGGCCGAGGUACAUGGCGUUAGCAUUUGGAAGUGGAGGAAGGAGGAGGGAGGAGUGAGGAGGGAGGAGGGAGUUACGCGAAGGAAGACGUGCAAAAAAAAGAAUUUAAGUGGUGUAACGUAUUCCUAAGUAGUGCAAUGGUUUGAAGAAAAUGGUGCAACGAGUCUAUAACCAGAGGAAAAAAAUUUCUUACAUUAGGUGUAAUAUUAACAGUAAUGGUGUAAUAUUUGCCUAA